rnacentral:lncRNA from 1 species
AUGCUUACCACCCCAGCCAUCCUACAGUCUAAGCUUGAUGCCCUCAUUCUCACACAAAUUAUCAUUGAACCUACCAGGUACAACCCCAAAUCUGUAAACAAGGGCACCCUCAUAGAUAUCAUCCUAACUAACUUACCCUCCAAAUACACCUCUGCUGUUUUCAACCAAGAUCUCAGCGACCGUAAUGGGUCUGCAGUCAAACAACCACCCCUCAUCACUGUCAAACGCUCCCUAAAACACUUCUGCGAACAGGCCUUUCUAAUUGAAAUGGCCGGGGUAUCCUGGAAUGACAUUGACCUCAUUCCGUCAGUAGAGGAUGCCUGGUUAUUCUUUAAAAGUGCCUUCCUCACCAUUUUAAAUAAGCAUGCUCCAUUCAAAAAAUUUAGAACUAGGAAUAGAUAUAUACCUUGGUUCACUCCAGACCUGUCUGCCCUUGACCAGCACAAAAACAUCCUGUGGCGUUCUGCAUUAGAAAUGCAACUUUUCAGGGAAGUUAGGAACCAAUAUACACACGCAGUUAGGAAAGCUAAGGCUAGCUUUUUCAAACAGAAAUUUGCAUCCUGUAGUACAAACUGUAGUACAAAAUGUUCUCUCUACAGUACGUGUGUGUUCUCUCUACAGUAUGUACAGUAUGUGUUCUCUCUACAGUAUGUCAGUGUUUCUCUCAUAGUUCCCCAGUAUGUUCUCACAGUAUUUCAUAGUGUUUCUCUACGUAUCGGUGUUCUCUACAGAGUUUCUCUCUACAGUAUGUGUUCUCUCUACAGUAUGUGUUCUCUCUACAGUAUGUGUUCUCUCUACAGUAUGUGUCCUCUCUACAGUAUGUGUUCUCUCUACCCUAUGUGUCUCGCUUUACAUGUAGUUCUCUUACGUAUGUGUCUCUCUCGUGUACAGUACUGUCUCCCC